UUGAGGAGGCGGUGACCGUGGCGGUAGAGGAGGAGGAUGAGGUAGCCAACACUGUUUUUUUUAAUAUAUAUAAAUAUAUAUUUUAAUUGGGUUAGCCCCCAAAAUAUUGGGACAUAUAAAAAAAAAGACAACUCUGUUCCACAGAGUAGUAGUUAACAUUAUAGUUGCGCAGGCACUUUGUUGACUCUAGAGAACCUCGGGCCAAUCGCACAUCCCUGUGGCGGCGACUUUGCAUGCGGAUGUCAUCCAUAUCAACGUUUGAUGCCAGUUUCUGCGCCUACCAUGGUGACCACGGGUAACGGGGAAUCAGGGUUCCAUUCCGUACAGGGACCAUGAGAAACAGCUAUCACAUGCAAGAAAGGCA
rnacentral:rRNA from 1 species